rnacentral:rRNA from 1 species
GCUGGAAUUCGGCUUUGGGGAAUAACGCAUCGAAAGAUGUGCUAAUACCGCAUAUCUCUCAGGAGGAAAGCAGGGGAUCGCAAGACCUUGCGCUAAAGGAGCGGCCGAUGUCUGAUUAGUUAGUUGGUGGGGUAAAGGCCUACCAAGGCANCGAUCAGUAGCUGGUCUGAGAGGACGAUCAGCCACACUGGGACUGAGACGCGGCCCAGACUCCUACGGGAGGCAGCAGUGGGGAAUUUUGGACAAUGGGCGAAAGCCUGAUCCAGCCAUGCCGCGUGAAUGAAGAAGGCCUUCGGGUUGUAAAGUUCUUUUAGUUGGAAAGAAAAAAUUAUGAUGAAUAAUCAUAAUUCAUGACGGUACCGACAGAAAAANCACCGGCUA